AACCAUUUUGGAGCUAGCCGUCGAAGGUGGGACAAAUGAUUGGGGUGAAGUCGUAACAAGGUAGCCGUAUCGGAAGGUGCGGCUGGAUCACCUCCUUUCUAAGGA
rnacentral:rRNA from 1 species